rnacentral:misc_RNA from 1 species
GAAAUGCGAUAAGUAAUGUGAAUUGCAGAAUUCAGUGAAUCAUCGAAUCUUUGAACGCACCUUUCUCUCCUUGGUAUUCCUUGGAGCAUGCCUGUUUGAGUAUCAUGAAAUCUUCAAAGUAAAUCUUUUGUUAACUCAAUUGGUUUCUACUUUGGUAUUGGAGGUCUUUGCAGCUUCACACCUGCUCCUCUUUGUUCAUUAGCUGGAUCUCAGUGUUAUGCUUGGUUCCACUCGGCGUGAUAAGUUAUCUAUCGCUGAGGACACUGUAAAAGGUGGCCAAGGUAAAUGCAGAUGAACCGCUUCUAAUAGUCCAUUGACUUGGACAAUACUUUUAUGAUCUGAUCUCAAAUCAGGUAGGACUACCCGCUGAACUUAAGC